CGCGGUGGCACAAAUGAAAUUAAUGAAAGAUUUAUUCACUUCUUGUCAGACUGCCUGGAUAUGAUAUCUUCAAUACGUUUUCAAGAUGGUUUUAAUGAAGGAAGAUUUUGGGCCAUGUAUCACUUAUUUCAGCAGUAUGUACGAGUGAAAGGACACAGCAGCCUUCCUCACCUCAUCUCUUUAUUUGCACCCUUUCCAAGCAAGGUGCCCUUGACAAACAUCGAGAGGAUUUAUAAAAGUGACUUCAAUGAUUUCCGCUUUCUGAGACGAUAUCGUCAGGACAAAGUCACAGUUCCACAGCACAAAGAGGCUUUACAACAACUUCGGUUAUUCAUGUUCAGAAGUCUUUUGGAGACUGAAAGAGGGAAUCAGAACAGCUACACUUGGUAUUUUAAAUGCAUCGUAUACGGAAGCCAAAUGGACUUCAAUGAAUCGUUGAGGCUGAAAAUAAUGAAGUCCAUGUGGACACAGACUGGACAAAGAAGACACUGAAAACAGUGAGCAGCUUUAUAAAAUGCUUCUCAAGUAACGUCAAAAUCAUAGUGUACUACAAUAAUAAAAUUGAAAGGUUUGUUCACUUUUGUCAGACUGCCUGGAUUCCAUAUCUUCAAUAAGUUUUCCAGAAGGUUUCAAUGAAGGAAGAUUUUGGGCCAUGUGUUGUUUAUUUAAGCAGUAUGAAGAAAUGAAAGUACAUGGCACCCUUCCACACCUCAUCUCUUUAUUUGCACCCUUUCCAAACAAGGUGCCCUUAACAAACACAGAGAGGAUUUAUGAAAGUGACUUUAGUGACUUCAGUUUCCUGCAACAAUAUCAUCAGGACAAUGUCACAGUUCCACAGCACAAAGAGACUUUACAACAACUUCGGUUAUUCAUAUUCAGCAGUCUUUG